rnacentral:rRNA from 1 species
AUUGAACGCUGGCGGCAGGCCUAACACAUGCAAGUCGAGCGAGCGGCGGACGGGUGAGUAAUGUAUGGGGACUGCCCGAUAGAGGGGGAUGACUACUGGAAACGGUGGCUAAUACCGCAUACUAUCGGAUAACCCAUAUGGGAUUUGCUAGUAGGUGGGGUAAAGGCUCACCUAGGCGACGAUCUCUAGCUGGGCUGAGAUGAUGAUCAGCCACACUGUGACUGAGACACGGCCCAGACUCCUACGGAGGCAGCUGUGGGGAAUAUUUCACAAUGGGCGCAAGCCUGAUGCAGCCAUGCCGCGUGGAUGAAGAAGGCCUUAGGGUUGUAAAGUACUUUCAGCUGGUAGGCGUUACCCGAACAAGAAGCACCGGCUAACUCCGGGCCAGCAGCCGCGGUAAUUC